AUCCUCAGGUUCAUAAGUGUGAUGAUUGGGUGUUCAGGCUCCAUGCAUGACAUGUGCCUCCUUUGAACCUUAUUAUGACAUCGGCACAUUACCCAUCUGACA
rnacentral:snoRNA from 1 species